rnacentral:rRNA from 1 species
CCUACGGGGGGCAGCAGUGAGGAAUAUUGGUCAAUGGACGCAAGUCUGAACCAGCCAUGCCGUGUGCAGGAAGACGGCUCUAUGAGUUGUAAACUGCUUUUGUACGAGGGUAAACGCAGAUACGCGUAUCUGUCUGAAAGUAUCGUACGAAUAAGGAUCGGCUAACUCCGUGCCAGCAGCCGCGGUAAUACGGAGGAUUCAAGCGUUAUCCGGAUUUAUUGGGUUUAAAGGGUGCGUAGGCGGUCCGGAAAGUCAGCGGUAAAAGCCCGGGGCUCAACCCCGGCGAGCCGUUGAAACUGUCGGAC